rnacentral:rRNA from 1 species
CUUGACGGUACCUAACCAGAAAGCCACGGCUAACUACGUGCCAGCAGCCGCGGUAAUACGUAGGUGGCAAGCGUUAUCCGGAAUUAUUGGGCGUAAAGCGCGCGCAGGUGGUUUCUUAAGUCUGAUGUGAAAGCCCACGGCUCAACCGUGGAGGGUCAUUGGAAACUGGGAGACUUGAGUGCAGAAGAGGAAAGUGGAAUUCCAUGUGUAGCGGUGAAAUGCGUAGAGAUAUGGAGGAACACCAGUGGCGAAGGCGACUUUCUGGUCUGUAACUGACACUGGGCGCGAAAGCGUGGGGAGCAAACAGGAUUAGAUACCCUGGUAGUCCACGCCGUAAACGAUGAGUGCUAAGUGUUAGAGGG